GAUGAAGAACGUAGCGAAAUGCGAUAAGUAAUGUGAAUUGCAGAAUUCAGUGAAUCAUCGAAUCUUUGAACGCACAUUGCGCCCGCCGGUAUUCCGGCGGGCAUGCCUGUCCGAGCGUCAUUUCACCACUCAAGCCCAGCUUGGCGUUGGGGCACCCGGCCGCCUGGCGGUCGGGGCCCCCAAGAACAUCGGCGGUCUCGCUAGGACCCUGAGCGCAGUAACUCGCGGUAAAACGCGCUUCGUUCGGAGGCUUCCCGGCGGGCUCCAGCCGCUAAACCCCCUAAACUUCUUAGGUUGACCUCGGAUCAGGUAGGAAUACCCGCUGAGUUUAAGCAUAUCAAUAAGCGGAGGA
rnacentral:misc_RNA from 1 species